AGGUAGGGAUACCCGCUGAACUUAAGCAUAUCAAUAAGCGGAGGA
rnacentral:rRNA from 4 species